rnacentral:snRNA from 1 species
AUGUUUACGAGUAAAAUAGUUACA